rnacentral:rRNA from 1 species
GGAGGGUGCGAGCGUUGUUCGGAAUUAUUGGGCGUAAAGCGCGUGUAGGCGGCUUGGUAAGUCGGGUGUGAAAGCCCGGGGCCCAACCCCGGAACUGCACUCGAUACUGCCUCGCUAGAGUCCCGGAGAGGAGAGCGGAAUUCCCGGUGUAGAGGUGAAAUUCGUAGAUAUCGGGAGGAACACCAGCGGCGAAGGCGGCUCUCUGGACGGUGACUGACGCUGAGACGCGAAAGCGUGGGGAGCAAACAGGAUUAGAUACCCUGGUAGUCCACGCCGUAGACGUUGGGUGCUAGGUGUCGCGGGUAUUGACCCCCCUGCGGUGCCGUCGCUAACGCAUUUAGCACCCCGCCUGGGGAGUACGGUCGCAAGGCUA